GGAUCCAGACUUUGAUCAUGGCUCAGGAUGAACGCUAGCUACAGGCUUAACACAUGCAAGUCGAGGGGCAGCAUUUUAGUUUGCUUGCAAACUGAAGAUGGCGACCGGCGCACGGGUGAGUAACACGUAUCCAACCUGCCGAUAACUCCGGGAUAGCCUUUCGAAAGAAAGAUUAAUACCGGAUAGCAUACGAAUAUCGCAUGAUAUUUUUAUUAAAGAAUUUCGGUUAUCGAUGGGGAUGCGUUCCAUUAGUUUGUUGGCGGGGUAACGGCCCACCAAGACUACGAUGGAUAGGGGUUCUGAGAGGAAGGUCCCCCACAUUGGAACUGAGAUACGGUCCAAACUCCUACGGGAGGCAGCAGUGAGGAAUAUUGGUCAAUGGGCGAGAGCCUGAACCAGCCUAGUAGCGUGAAGGAUGAAGGCUCUAUGGGUCGUAGACUUCUUUUAUAUGGGAAUAAAGUAUUCCACGUGUGGAAUUUUGUAUGUACCAUAUGAAUAAGGAUCGGCUAACUCCGUGCCAGCAGCCGCGGUAAUACGGAGGAUCCGAGCGUUAUCCGGAUUUAUUGGGUUUAAAGGGAGCGUAGGUGGAUUGUUAAGUCAGUUGUGAAAGUUUGCGGCUCAACCGUAAAAUUGCAGUUGAAACUGGCAGUCUUGAGUACAGUAGAGGUGGGCGGAAUUCGUGGUGUAGCGGUGAAAUGCUUAGAUAUCACGAAGAACUCCGACUGCGAAGGCAGCUCACUAGACUGUUACUGACACUGAUGCUCGAAAGUGUGGGUAUCAAACAGGAUUAGAUACCCUGGUAGUCCACACAGUAAACGAUGAAUACUCGCUGUUUGCGAUAUACAGUAAGCGGCCAAGCGAAAGCAUUAGUAUUCCACCUGGGGA
rnacentral:rRNA from 1 species